rnacentral:rRNA from 1 species
UACAGAGGUCUCAAGCGUUGUUCGGAUUCAUUGGGCGUAAAGGGUGUGUAGGUGGCGCCGUAAGUCGGGUGUGAAAUUUCGGAGCUUAACUCCGAAACUGCAUUCGAUACUGCCGUGCUUGAGGGACUGGAGAGGAGACUGGAAAUUUACGGUGUAGCGGUGAAAUGCGUAGAUAUCGUAAGGAAGACCAGUGGCGAAGGCGGGUCUCUGGACAGUUCCUGGACGCUGAGGCACGAAGGCCAGGGGAGCAAACGGG